rnacentral:rRNA from 1 species
UGAGGAAUAUUGCGCAAUGGACGGAAGUCUGACGCAGCAACGCCGCGUGAGCGAUGAAGGCCUUCGGGUCGUAAAGCUCUUUUCUGGGGGACGAGGAAGGACGGUACCUCAGGAAUAAGCCUCGGCUAACUACGUGCCAGCAGCCGCGGUAAAACGUAGGAGGCGAGCGUUAUCCGGAUUUAUUGGGCGUAAAGCGCAUGCAGGUGGUUCUGCAAGUCGGAUGUGAAAGCUCCUGGCUUAACUGGGAGAGGUCGUUCGAAACUGCAGGACUGGAGGUCGGAAGAGGGAAGCGGAAUUCCCGGUGUAGUGGUGGAAUGCGUAGAUAUCGGGAGGAACACCAGUGGCGGAAGCGGCUUCCUGGUCCGCACCUGACACUCAGAUGCGAAAGCGUGGGGAGCGAACAGG